UAAGGAAUAUUGGUCAAUGGACGCAAGUCUGAACCAGCCAUGCCGCGUGAAGGAUGAAGGUCCUCUGGAUUGUAAACUUCUUUUAUCUGGGACGAAAACGGGAUUUUUAUCUCAAUUGACGGUACCAGAGGAAUAAGCACCGGCUAACUCCGUGCCAGCAGCCGCGGUAAUACGGAGGGUGCGAGCGUUAUCCGGAUUUACUGGGUUUAAAGGGUGCGUAGGUGGGCUUAUAAGUCAGUGGUGAAAUCUCCGAGCUUAACUUGGAAACUGCCGUUGAUACUAUAGGUCUUGAAUUAUCUGGAGGUAAGCGUAAUAUGUCAUGUAGCGGUGAAAUGCUUAGAUAUGACAUAGAACACCAAUUGCGAAGGCAGCUUACUACAUAUAAAUUGACGCUGAGGCACGAAAGCGUGGGGAUCAAACA
rnacentral:rRNA from 1 species